rnacentral:tRNA from 1 species
GGGCCGAUAGAUCAGGGGUAGAUCGCUACCUUGGCAUGGUAGAGGCCGCGGGUUCAAUUCCCGCUCGGUCCAUCA